AGAGUUUGAUCAUGGCUCAGAGCGAACGCUGGCGGCAGGCCUAACACAUGCAAGUCGAACGGAUCCUUCGGGAUUAGUGGCGGACGGGUGAGUAACACGUGGGAACGUGCCUUUGGUUCGGAACAACUCAGGGAAACUUGAGCUAAUACCGAAUGUGCCCUUCGGGGGAAAGAUUUAUCGCCAUUAGAGCGGCCCGCGUCUGAUUAGCUAGUUGGUGGGGUAAAGGCUCACCAAGGCUACGAUCAGUAGCUGGUCUGAGAGGAUGAUCAGCCACAUUGGGACUGAGACACGGCCCAAACUCCUACGGGAGGCAGCAGUGGGGAAUCUUGCGCAAUGGGCGAAAGCCUGACGCAGCCAUGCCGCGUGAAUGAUGAAGGUCUUAGGAUUGUAAAAUUCUUUCACCGGGGACGAUAAUGACGGUACCCGGAGAAGAAGCCCCGGCUAACUUCGUG
rnacentral:rRNA from 1 species